GUGGGGAAUAUUGGACAAUGGGCGAAAGCCUGAUCCAACCAUGCCGCGUGUGUGAAGAAGGUCUUCGGAUUGUAAAGCACUUUAAGUUGGGAGGAAGGGUAGUAACCUAAUACGUUGCUACUUUGACGUUACCGACAGAAUAAGCACCGGCUAACUUCGUGCCAGCAGCCGCGGUAAUACGAAGGGUGCAAGCGUUAAUCGGAAUUACUGGGCGUAAAGCGCGCGUAGGUGGUUUUGUAAGUUGGAGGUGAAAUCCCCGGGCUCAACCUGGGAACUGCCUCCAAAACUGCAUGACUAGAGUACGGUAGAGGGUAGUGGAAUUUCCUGUGUAGCGGUGAAAUGCGUAGAUAUAGGAAGGAACACCAGUGGCGAAGGCGACUACCUGGACUGAUACUGACACUGAGGUGCGAAAGCGUGGGGAGCAAACAGGAUUAGAAACCCUGGUAGUCC
rnacentral:rRNA from 1 species